CUGUGCAGUGGAAUACACCACAAUGAAGAAAGAGGAUCACUCCUGGACUGAUCUCUCUGCUGAUGACCAGCGGGCACUGAAUCCACGUUCCAGAAGAGGCAUUGCAGUGGCAGCAUGGGUGUCCACGCAUCCCUCUCUGCCCACGACUAUGUGGAGUCCCUGCACCACAACUUCUGGGCUACCCUGCUGUAUGCUAGCCCCCAUGAAGGAGACCUGAUCAGUGGUGCCAUCAAGACCCCGUUCCCGUUGGUUGACGUUCUCAUUAUGUUCUGAGGGCAAAAGCAAUCUAUUUCAAGACAGCAAUAGGCUUUGAGCUGAAAAUGGCAAUCGGCCAUCCCUGCUGUAUAGUGCCAUCACUGAACCAGUCUCUGUGGCUAGAACUGUGGAAUGUGCUUAUUUGCCAGGCCUGAGUCAGGUGGCCAUUCCUGGACUACUGGGGUACAGCAUCUACUGUGACUAUGCCAUGUCCAUCUGCCUGGAUGUGAUUGUUUACCUGCACUGCCACAAACAAUUUUCCAGUCAACAACCAUGACAGGUGGGAUGAGAGGGACCAGGAGAGGUAAAACCUGCCCCUUACCAGGAGAGGUAAAAUCUGACCUUCUGCCCUGACCUUUCCUAGACUUUGGGAGCAGGUCCACGGGUCUGGCUCGGCAUGCCUGGGGGGAUGUGUUGUCCGGGAGGGUCCCCAUCACCAUGCUUUAGAAUGACUUCCUGCUGGGUCUUUUGUGGCCGGGUCACAGUGGCAGUGGACAGCAGUGGGACAGUGGUGCUGGUCAGCCAGGAAGGGAUCCAGAGGCCACCCUUGCACUUCUCCAGGGGAAGG